rnacentral:snRNA from 2 species
GUCACAAUCUAGGGACGUCGGCUAAAAUUGGAACAACAAAAAGAAGAUUAGUAUGACACAUGCGCAAAGAUGACACAUAUAAAUCGAGAAAUGGUCCAAAUCUUU